UAAAUUUAAAAUUAGAUAUUUAAAAUUAAAAUUUUGAGAAUUAAAAUUUUAAAUCUAAUUUCAAAAUUUAUAAUUUAAAAGUUAAGAUUUUCAAUUUAAAAUUUUCAGUUUAAAAAUUUAAAUUCAAUUAUAGGGAUAAUAUCAUUAUUUUCUAUUUAUAAUUACUAACUAUUCCACCUUAUACUCACAUUUUCACCCAAACACAAUUUUUCUAGUUCCAGCUUAUACUCACAUUGUCAUCCAAAAAAAAAAAAAAAACCCAUAUUUCUACGAAAACCCAUAUUUGUAUCUAUUCCCGGUAUAACUAGUUCUUGCUUAUACCCGAACCAAACGAAGCCUUAGAGUAUACCGGUAGCAUUGCUUUCUGUAAACACAAUUUUUUCACUUUCUCUCUCUAACUUUUAAAAAACUAUAUUAAUGAAGAGGGCGAAAUAAUCAAAUUAUCCUUAUUUGUUAGAAAAAACUAAUAUAUUUCUGUCAUUUUUUAAGAACGUUUUUAGUAUAAAUUAUAAAAAAAACUAACAGAAUAAUGAUGGAACCGUAACAUAGAGAGGCUAAAUGCAUCAAAUUAAAAUUUUAAGAGGGUUUAAUAUAGGUUAAUGAAAAUCAAGGUAUGUAAUCUUUACCAUUCAAAUUCUACUCCCAUAUAUUUAGAUAUCAUCGUAGAUUUUCUCAAAAGUCAUUAAUAUCGUAAUAAUCGCGUGUGAAGGGAAAUGAUGCGGGCAUAGAUGCAAUGCUUUAGAGGUCGCUCAAGUUAUGGAUGGCAAUGUAGUUUAGGGCCUGUUUGGCCUAGAUUCUGGAAAAGUGAUAUCUACAGAAAUGAUUUUAGUUUGGAAAAUUGAUUUUGGUGAAAAACUGUAGAGCGUUUGGCUGAGUUUAAAUAAAAGUAAUUUUUCUAAAGUGAUUUUCUAAAACUGUUUGGCAAAAAAUUUUUGAUGCUUGCAUAUAUUAAUAUUUUUACUAAAUUUUAUUUUAAAAUAAUUUUAAAUUUGAAUUUAAAUUAAAAUUUUAAAUUUGAAUUAAAAGUAUAAUUUUUAAAUUUCAAAUUUACAAAAAAUAAGAUGACCUCUAGGUAGGUUUUUUUUUUUAGAGAGAAAGAUAGCAUGCUACCGCUUCAUUUAAUUCUUUUUAAAAUAAACUUAGCUUUGUUGAAUCGUUGGCGCUAACCAUUAAUCCCAAAAGCUAGAGCUGUUAGAAAUACGCAACCAAUUUACUUAAAGUGUAUAGAUACAACGCCCACGGAUCUUGAUUGUGACUCGGCCCAACCAGCAUCACGCCAUUUCGAAUAUGACUCGGCCCACCCAACCUCAUGCUAUUUCAAACAAAACUCGGCCCAACAUGACCUCCCACUACAGAGCAGGAUGCUGGCUCAUUUAAACCAACAAACUAGAACUUUGAAUCAACUGAAAUUUGAAUUUAGAAUCUCAAAUAUUAACCACCAAAUCUUUUACUACUUACGCUAAGGACGGUCAGUGACCUCCAGGCAGAUUGGCUAGGAGUAGAAAAGCGGCAACGUGGAAGUAGAGCAAAUGAAAGGACAGAAACAAAACUAUUGAUGCCCAUAAAAAAAACAAAGACUUAAUUGCAUCCGUACAUACUGUACUCUAAAAUCUUUUUCAACUGGCCCACAAUACUUAAGUCCAACAAUGUCGUCAAUAGAGUUAGCCUUUAAAAUGAAAACUUGUAGCUCCAUCAAUGGAGCAUGGUCAUAGUUAACAGAGAAGGUGGCCCCGACUAGAGCUCAUCUGGGAGGAAAAGAAUGGAAAGUUGCUUUAUCUUUUGGGUAGAUGUAAUUAUAAAUACAGUAUAGUUGAAGAUAUAUGUAGUUGAAAAUGCUGUAGUUACAACUAUAUGAAUCUUGUUUGGCUGGAUGUAGUAAAAAGCGUCGUAACUAUAAAUAAUUUGUUUGGUUGCAUGCAGUAAAGAAGUAACUUUUAAAAUUUUAUCAUUAUAUAUAUAUGAUAAUGAAAUUACCUCCAACAUAAAAUAAAAAAUUAUAUUUUUUGUUUAAAAAAUAAUUAAGAAGGUAAAAGCUUACAUUUUGUUUAAAGUUACUCUCUCCGACUGCUACAGCUGAAACUACGAUCAAUUUGGUUGUAGUUCCAACUGCUGCAGUCGGACUUCCUCCUGCAGUUCCUACUGCUGCAGUUGGAGUUAAAUACAUAAAAUCAAACAGUGAAUUUGCAUUUACAUACAGUUACAACUAUUGUAUAGUUGUAAAUACAUGCAACCAAACUCAUGUUCUCAUGUUCUUUAAAUGCCCCAAAUAUCUUGUUUCUCAUCUAUCAAUUUU
rnacentral:lncRNA from 1 species